rnacentral:misc_RNA from 1 species
CGAACUUGGGAACCUUGGCUAAUCACAGAAAUCACCGAGAUGCUAUGGAGCUUGUUAGUUGCUGAAAGCUUCGGCUGCAAAAUCAAGAAACGCACUUUCAUCUAAGGUUUUCAUCAGCCAUUCUUUAUCUACUUCUUGUUCAUGCUUGAGAAUAUGAAGAAAUUCAAUACCAUAUCAGUGAUAAUAAAUCAUUAAUUGAUAUUGUAUUUGUUUGAUCAAUUAUUUUUGGUUAGUAGAGGAAGGUUUAGCUCUACUUAGACAUUGAAUUUGGAAGGAAUGAAACUGGGAAGUUAUUGAUUAUGCUUUAGCCUUAUAGUUAAGGAAUAGUCUAAUUUGUCAAUUUAUGGUACCAAGAAACUUUCUUUUAUGACCACUCUAGCGAUCCCCAUCCAGCGAGGCAUGUGGGUUUGGAGGAAGGAAAUCCCUCCUGGAGUAUCUUUGAUGGAAUUAGAAUUAAUCCAUCAAGUCCAGAUGCUCUCAUGGCACAGAUUGACACAGCCAUCAAUAAAAAAUUUGGAAUAUGCUCAUUCCAUUGCUCGCCUUGACCCUCCAUCUCCAUCCCACUUAAAGAAUAAGAGCCCAGGUGGGGAUGCAGCUCCUCAAUAUGAUGCCUGAAUGGCAGAUGAGGCUUAUAUUGCAGGAUGUGCAGCAUUAGCUAAAGAGAAGCUUAUUGAGGGUCUUCACUCUUUGAGCAUUUCUCUUUCAAAAUCUCCUCCUGAUAAGACCUCUCCAGUUGCCAACCUUCAGUCUCUCAUUUCUCUAACAUCAGGGCAAAUCCAGAAAUUUCCUGGUUGACAUAACAGCGGUACAUUUAGUCCUUUUUAGUAAUUUAUUUUCUUAGUUUUCAAUUGAUGAUUACCUAAUGCAUUUAACAUGUCAUGUUGAUGUUCAUGGCCUUGACAUAAAAAUUUCUAGCUUCCAUGUGUUUCUCUGUUAUCAGCAAGUUGUUCCUGCAUUUUUAGAAAUAAGUCCCGAUGUUCAUGGUGAAGUCUUGGAGCUCUUUUGCCAAUGCUGAUGUGGUGAUUAUUCCACUGUUGAUUCUUGGGAUACACAUUAUUGAGUGAUGAAAAUAAGAUAUCA